AUAAGCAUUAUACGGCGAAACUGGCUCUUUAUCAUUAGAUAACUUAUCGUUUAUUUGACUGCACAUUACUACUUGGAUAACCGUGGUAAUUCUAGAGCUAAUACAUGCUAAAAAUCCCGACUUCGGAAGGGAUGUAUUUAUUAGAUUAAAAACCAAUGCCCUCUGGGCUCUCUGGUGAAUCAUGAUAACUGCUCGAAUCGCAGGGCCUCGUGCCGGCGAUGGUUCAUUCAAAUUUCUUCCCUAUCAACUUUCGAUGUUUGGGUAUUGGCCAAACAUGGUUACAACGGGUAACGGAGGGUUAGGGCUCGACCCCGGAGAAGGAGCCUGAGAGACGGCUACUACAUCCAAGGAAGGCAGCAGGCGCGCAAAUUACCCAAUCCCGACACGGGGAGGUAGUGACAAUAAAUACUGAUACAGGGCUCUUUCGGGUCUUGUAAUUGGAAUGAGUACAAUUUAAAUCCCUUAACGAGGAACAAUUGGAGGGCAAGUCUGGCC
rnacentral:rRNA from 2 species